rnacentral:rRNA from 1 species
UUGGGAAUCUUGGACAAUGGGGGAAACCCUGAUCCAGCCAUGCCGCGUGAGUGAUGAAGGCCUUCGGGUUGUAAAACUCUUUCGCGCACGACGAUAAUGACGGUAGUGCGAGAAGAAGCUCCGGCUAACUUCGUGCCAGCAGCCGCGGUAAUACGAAGGGGGCUAGCGUUGUUCGGAAUUACUGGGCGUAAAGCGCGCGCAGGCGGCUAUCCAAGUCAGUGGUGAAAGCCCGGAGCUCAACUCCGGAACUGCCAUUGAAACUGUUUAGCUUGAGGACGAGAGAGGUGAGUGGAAUUCCCAGUGUAGAGGUGAAAUUCGUAGAUAUUGGGAAGAACACCGGUGGCGAAGGCGGCUCACUGGCUCGUUUCUGACGCUCAGGCGCGACAGCGUGGGGAUCAAACAGGAUUAGAUACCCCCGUAGUCC